AUUGAACGCUGGCGGCAGGCCUAACACAUGCAAGUCGAGCGAGCGGCGGACGGGUGAGUAAUGUAUGGGGACUGCCCGAUAGAGGGGGAUAACUACUGGAAACGGUGGCUAAUACCGCAUACUAUCGGAUAACCCAUAUGGGAUUAGCGAGUAGGUGGGGUAAAGGCUCACCUAGGCGAUGAUCUCUAGCUGGUCUGAGAGGAUGAUAAGCCACACUGGGACUGAGACACGGACCAGACGCCUACGGAGGCAGCAGGGGGGAAUAUUGCACAAUGGGCGCAAGCCUGAUGCAGCCAUGCCGCGUGUAUGAAGAAGGCCUUCGGGUUGUAAAGUACUUUCAGUCGGGAGGCGUUACCGACAGAAGAAGCACCGGCUAACUCCGUGCCAGCCGCCGCGGUAAUUC
rnacentral:rRNA from 1 species